rnacentral:rRNA from 1 species
UACUACCGAAGCUACGGCAUCAGUAAUGAUGGGUAGGGGAGCUUCCCAUACGGGUUGAAGCAUGACCGUAAGGACAUGUGGACAGUAUGGGAGUGAGAAUGUUGGCAUGAGUAGCGAGAUGUGGGUGGGAAUCCCACAGGCCGUAAACCCAAGGUUUCCAGGGGAAGGUUCGUCCGCCCUGGGUUAGUCGGGACCUAAGCUGAGGCCGAAAGGCGUAGGUGAUGGACAACAGGUUGAUAUUCCUGUAGUACCGAUAACCGGUUGAGAGAAGGGAUGACACAGUAGGAUAAGCUAAGCACACUGUUGGUUAUGUGUGCCCAAGCAUUGAGGCAGUCAAAGUAGGCAAAUCCACUUUGAUAAUGCUGGGAUGUGAUGGGGAGCGAAAUUUAGUAGCGAA